rnacentral:misc_RNA from 1 species
AAGUCGUAACAAGGUUACCUUCUAGCAGCUCGCUACGGAGACCUUGCACCCCUAUAGGGAGGCAGCACGACAGUAAAUAAAGCUCGCCGCGUGCAAGUCGACCACGGUCGGCAACACAAUCGAACUGACGGGGACCUCCUAAAGCCUGCAGCACCAACCGUCCGGGGAAACUCGGCCGGGGCCCUCACGGGGUGGUAAGAGAGUGCAGGAUGUUACAAUGGACGAUCCGCAGCGAAUGCCCUACCGGCGGAAGCCCACGGGUGUCGUCCACAGA